ensembl:snoRNA small nucleolar RNA SNORA57
CCUCCUUUUCUUGGCAGGCCCGGGUCUCCCAGUGCCCGGCUCUGUAAUGUCCGGAGGUACAGGAAUGCCCACCCAGUGUUCUGUCUUCGGUGCCAGCGGCUUUGCCAUCUGCUGGUUCUAUCCUCAAGCACUGGGACAGAA